UACGUAGGGUGCGAGCGUUAAUCGGAAUUACUGGGCGUAAAGCGUGCGCAGGCGGUUCGCUGUGUCCGAUGUGAAAGCCCCGGGCUUAACCUGGGAAUGGCAUUGGAAACUGGCGGGCUUGAGUGUGGCAGAGGGGGGUGGAAUUCCGCGUGUAGCAGUGAAAUGCGUAGAUAUCAGGAGGAACACCGGUGGUGUAGACGGCUUUCUGGACCGACACUGACGCUGAGACACGAAAGCGUGGGUAGCAAACAGG
rnacentral:rRNA from 1 species